AGGAGAGAGUGAACGGACCACAGCUCGACAGUGAGUCAGCAGAACUUCAGCAGGUGUCUGCUAACCGGGUGGAUCUGCAGAAGACUCCUCUCCUUUCACACUGCUACAGCCAGGUUAUUUCAUAAUUGGCUACUAUGGGGUUAAUUGCGCCUUCCUCCUAAGCAUCUGGCACUGGCCACUGUCUGAGACUGGAUAAUGGACUUGGUGGACCACCGGUCUGAUCCUGCCUGGCAAUUCCUAGAUGCUUAAAUGUUUAACCUUAUUUGCAAAUAUCUGUUAAAACAUGGGAUCUCUUCAUCACCAUCCUAAAACAGAGUUGCGUACACGCACGCUGGAAAUGACUCAUCCUGCAAUUGUUUGUGUCUCAUUUACAUGCAGAAAUCUCAGCUUGCCAGUCCGAGCUGAGACAGUGCUGCCGAAGUUACGCAGGCAAAGAGAGAUCUUUGUGGUGACACCUGGUCACUGUAAGGCUCUCUGAUGCUCCAGGGAAAAAGCAGUAUAAACAGAGUGGGGGUUAUAGUUCCAGCAGCUGAAGCCACACACGUCCCAGGAUGUCGCAAGCCGGCUCUGAUCUACGCACGACCACUGAGAAAUGUGAGCCAACAGGAAGACAAUGAAGAGGGUUUGUGGCACCGGAAAUCAUAAUGCUGCUCUUGGCUUCCAGUGGGCCCCGCUUUCUUGGCAGAAUGUACUGAACUCUAGAUCCUGCCGACCAGGGUAUGUGUGUGUCCACAGUUACAUGCUGUAGGCUGCACCGAAAGCAACGGGAGUGGAAAACAGAUGGAAACUCACCAUGAAAUGAAGUUUACAAGAUUGAGACAUGCAAAUACUAAGCCUCCAAUGAGUAAGAGGAAGGACAGAUAUGUGCUAAAGGUACAAGACUAGGACUCAGGAGAUUUGGGUUCCCUUCCCAGACUUCCUGUGUGACCUGGGCCAAGUCACUUGUGGGCUGGUUAUUUACAGAUGUAUGGAUUUUCUCAGCACUAUAAAUCAAACUAAUAGGUGAUAUAUGGGCCUAAUUCUAUUUCUAUUGAAGUCUAUGGAAUUUUUUCCUUUGACGUCAAUGAGAGCAGGAUUGAUUUCUGUGCAUGUUCCAUUUGUUGCUGAGAUUUUAAGAAUGAAUUUUCUUUUUUCCAUUGCCAAAGACAGAUAACAGCAGUAGAGGUAGAGGAGUCAUCUAAUAACUACAUAUUAAUACAUGAAUCAUCACCUUAGAACCCAACUCAGUAAAAGACUGAAAGGAAAAUAACUGAACUUGAUAUUUUGGCUGUCUGAAGUAAAGGAUUUUCCAAAUAAUGCACAGCAGAAAAUCUGUAAAAACAAGAUAAUAAUUUCAGAAUAAAUUUUCACUUUAGCUUUGGGAUCACACACAUCCUUUAAAUGCUGUUUAAAUGCAUUAUAAUACUUAGGGCUCUACUUGAAAACCUCUCUGUGCUUUGCUGAAACCCGAGCAGAGAAAAUCUGUUAAAACUCUCACUUUUAAGCAUACCUAAUUACCUUCUGACAUAGAAUUCUCAUUCAGUAUUUUAAAGUAAAAUAGCCACAAUGGAGGAUAGUCCAAAUAAAUCCAACAAAUCCAAAUAAAAUAUUUCCAUUCUAAAUUAAGACUCUUCCAUUUAUGGAAGGUAAAAAAUCUGACUUUUCUACUGUUCUGCUUAUUCUUCAUGGUAUUUUUAAUAUUCCCUGAAUAAAAAAGUAUAUCCCCAAAGGCACAAUUGUGACUGAAUACCAAAGUCCCAAUUCACAUAGCGGGGUGUGAGACUGGGGAUUCAUUUAUCCUAUUCCUGCUGAGGAAUCCAGUAGUUUUCCAGCGAUGAAGUUGGUGACAAAGCACUGCAAUCAACAGCAGUCCUUGGUGUUGCCUACAGCCUUGGUGAUAUGUGCCUUUAAACUUGAGGGUGGCCCAAGCCACAUAACCUGAAUUCAGGUUUUUGAACCUGCCUCAACCUCAGAGUUAUUUGGAUUUGGGGUGCUGUUUCCAAAGAUAAGAGCAUGGAAGGAUCCAACAAUGAUGGUAGAGGACCUUGAAAAGUUGUGCGGUCAUUUAAACAAGAGUUUAACAGUAGAACCCCUAUUUUAUUAAUCUAAUUGAGGAUUGAGAGGUUCAUAAAACUGAACAUCUCAAAACUAGAUUAGGUACAGUGCAUAGGCUGUAGUUUGGUGCACUGUAUUGCCUCCUUCUUGCCCUUCAAACCCCACUGCAAAGUGAUUUACAAACCACUGAAGGCAUGAGGAUGGGAAGAGCUGCUGACUUGUUUUUCGUCAACAUCACUCUUGUGAUGUGGGGUUUUUUCAGGUGGGAAAACUAGUUUGUAUAACUGAUCAUUUAUAAGAUUAAAAUGUUUGUAAAAUCAAGGCUCUACAGUAUCUAUUUCCUUGAGGACUUCCGUAGCAAGCGCCAAGAAUAACCUCAACAUUUCGUCACAGUAGAUGCUGAAGUGCUAACUGCCCACAAAAGAAACAACUGGAUAAAGAACAUUUAACAUUGGUAGCUACUGUGAAAUGUGUAUGCUAGAGAUCUGGCCCAGGCAGACCGUCUGCUGGGAGGAUACCACGGGGCACAAGGCAUGGCUGCGCUGUGGAUUCUGUGCUGAACAGGCAUGGCUGGACUGUAGUGGAAGAACGCCGACUUAAGAGGAGCGAGGCAUCUCCAAGAAAUUUAUUUCUACUUCGUAUUUGGGUGUAAAUGUAGUGGUUUUUCUACAUAAGGAAAGGGUUGAAACAGAUUGUGAAAUUGCCUUGGUUCUUGUAAACUUUUCAAACCUUUAUGAUAAUCUAUUUAAGAUUAGUUGGUCAAGCUAAAUGUUACAUUUUGCACAGUUCUAUGCUUCAUUCCCCUUCUGCAUGUUGUAUUGAACUGAUACUGGGCUUUUGGCUGUCUAACCAAAUAGGCUGAAGUUCUUUAAAGCAAGGACAUUUGCCUUCUAUGUGCUGAGUUUUUGAAACACUCAGCUUCCAUUAGCUCCAUUUGGCCUAUUCUGCUACCCUUACUUUAAGAGGUAAUUGUGGCAUUGAGUACACCAAUGUGCUCAACAAUAAAAGAACUGGGCCUUUAAAUCUAAAGUUUUCUUUUUUAUUGUUGUAUUUUAAUGUGGGGAAACUGACAAUGUAUAUUGAACUAUAUUCCCUGUGCAGCACUUUGAGAAGUUCUAAUACAAAAGCUGGUAAAUAUAAGAAAUGUAUUGUAUAUAACCUAUUACAUCUGGCAUAGGAAUGUAAAAGCAUCACUAUGGUUUUGAAUUCAUUUGCAAUUGUGAAUUUCUGAAAGUGACUUGCUGUGAUGACUACGGUUAUAAGUACCUAUUGUGUUCUUUUUUUAAAAAAAAAGGAAAGAAAAAGCAAUAACCUUUA